CUGGGCGUAAGCGUGCGCAGGCGGUUUUGUAAGACAGGCGUGAAAUCCCCGGGCUCAACCUGGGAACUGCGCUUGUGACUGCAAGGCUAGAGUACGGCAGAGGGGGGUGGAAUUCCACGUGUAGCAGUGAAAUGCGUAGAGAUGUGGAGGAACACCAAUGGCGAAGGCAGCCCCCUGGGUCGAUACUGACGCUCAUGCACGAAAGCGUGGGUAGCAAACAGGAUUAGAUACCUUGGUAGUCCACGCCCUAAACGAUGUCAACUAGGUGUUGGGUGGGUAAAACCAUUUAGUACCGGAGCUAACGCGUGAAGUUGACCGCCUGGGGAGUACGGCCGCAAGGUUAAAACUCAAAGGAAUUGACGGGGACCCGCACAAGCGGUGGAUGAUGUGGAUUAAUUCGAUGCAACGCGAAAAACCUUACCUACCCUUGACAUGUCCAGAACCCCUGAGAGAUUGGGGGGUGCCCGAAAGGGAGCUGGAACACAGGUGCUGCAUGGCUGUCGUCAGCUCGUGUCGUGAGAUGUUGGGUUAAGUCCCGCAACGAGCGCAACCCUUGUCGUUAAUUGCCAUCAUUUAGUUGGGCACUUUAACGAGACUGCCGGUGACAAACCGGAGGAAGGUGGGGAUGACGUCAAGUCCUCAUGGCCCUUAUGGGUAGGGCUUCACACGUCAUACAAUGGUCGG
rnacentral:rRNA from 1 species